GCCGAUGUAGUUCAACUGGCAGAGCGUUGCUUUCCUAAUAAUCCAUAGGCAAAGGUUGUGGGUUCGAGUCCCAUCAUUGGUU